CCUACGUGAGGCAGCAGUGGGGAAUAUUGGACAAUGGGGGGAACCCUGAUCCAGCGACGCCGCGUGAGUGAAGAAGUAUUUCGGUAUGUAAAGCUCUAUCGGCAGGGAAGAAAGAAAUGACGGUACCUGACUAAGAAGCCCCGGCUAACUACGUGCCAGCAGCCGCGGUAAUACGUAGGAGGCAAGCGUUAUCCGGAUUUACUGGGUGUAAAGGGAGCGUAGACGGCGAUGCAAGUCUGAAGUGAAAGGCGGGGGACCAACCCCCGGACUGCUUUGGAGACUGUAUGGCUGGAGUGCAGUAGAGGUAGGUGGAAUUCCUGGUGUAGCGGUGAAAUGCGUAGAGAUUAGGAGGAACACCAGUGGCGAAGGCGGCUUACUGGACUGUAACUGACGUUGAGGCACGAAAGCGUGGGGAGCAAACAGGAUUAGAUACCCUGGUAGUC
rnacentral:rRNA from 1 species